rnacentral:rRNA from 1 species
CCUACGGGAGGCAGCAGUGGGGAAUAUUGCACAAUGGGGGAAACCCUGAUGCAGCGACGCCGCGUGAGUGAAGAAGUACUUCGGUACGUAAAGCUCUAUCAGCAGGGAAGAAAAUGACGGUACCUGACUACGAAGCCCCGGCUAACUACGUGCCAGCAGCCGCGGUCCUACGUAGGGGGCACGCGUUAUCCGGAUUUACUGGGGGUAAAGGGAGUGUAGACGGCAUCGCAAGGCUGGAGUGAAAUCCCAGGGCUUAAACAUGGAACUGCGUUUGAAACUGUGCAGCUAGAGUGCAGGAGAGGUAGGCGGAAUGCCCGGUGUAGCGGUGAAAUGCGUAGAGAUCGGGAGGAACACCAGUGGCGAAGGCAGCCUACUGGGCUUUAACUGACGCUGAGGCACGAAAGCAUGGGUAGCGAACAGGAUUAGAUACCCUGGUAGUC